rnacentral:rRNA from 1 species
GCAGUCGAGCGAAUGGAUUAAGAGCUUGCUCUUAUGAAGUUAGCGGCGGACGGGUGAGUAACACGUGGGUAACCUACCCAUAAGACUGGGAUAACUCCGGGAAACCGGGGCUAAUACCGGAUAAUAUUUUGAACUGCAUAGUUCGAAAUUGAAAGGCGGCUUCGGCUGUCACUUAUGGAUGGACCCGCGUCGCAUUAGCUAGUUGGUGAGGUAACGGCUCACCAAGGCAACGAUGCGUAGCCGACCUGAGAGGGUGAUCGGCCACACUGGGACUGAGACACGGCCCAGACUCCUACGGGAGGCAGCAGUAGGGAAUCUUCCGCAAUGGACGAAAGUCUGACGGAGCAACGCCGCGUGAGUGAUGAAGGCUUUCGGGUCGUAAAACUCUGUUGUUAGGGAAGAACAAGUGCUAGUUGAAUAAGCUGGCACCUUGACGGUACCUAACCAGAAAGCCACGGCUAACUACGUGCCAGCAGCCGCGGUAAUACGUAGGUGGCAAGCGUUAUCCGGAAUUAUUGGGCGUAAAGCGCGCGCAGGUGGUUUCUUAAGUCUGAUGUGAAAGCCCACGGCUCAACCGUGGAGGGUCAUUGGAAACUGGGAGACUUGAGUGCAGAAGAGGAAAGUGGAAUUCCAUGUGUAGCGGUGAAAUGCGUAGAGAUAUGGAGGAACACCAGUGGCGAAGGCGACUUUCUGGUCUGUAACUGACACUGAGGCGC